rnacentral:rRNA from 1 species
AUUGAACGCUGGCGGCAUGCCUAACACAUGCAAGUCGAGCGGAAGCACGGGGCUUGCUCGCGGCUUCUGCGGCGGACGGGAGUGUUAUGCCUAGGAGUAUCCCUGGUUGUGGGGUAUAAUGUCCGAAGACGCGCGAUUAUCGCGUACGCGCUACGAGGGAGAGAGUGGGGGCUUUUCGCCUCAUGCGUUUCAAGCUGACCCUAGGUGGGAUUAGCUAGUUGGUGGGGUAAAGGCCUACCAAGGCGACGAUCCGUAACUGGUCUGAGAGGAUGAUCAGUCACACUGGAACUGAGACACGGUCCAGACUCCUACGGGAGGCAGCAGUGGGGAAUAUUGGACAAUGGGCGAAAGCCUGAUCCAGCCAUGCCGCGUGUGUGAAGAAGGUCUUCGGAUUGUAAAGCUCUUUAAGUAGGGAGGAAGGGCAGUAAGUUAAUACCUUGCUGUUUUGACGGUACCAACAGAAUAAGCACCGGCUAACUACGUG